GACUUUAUAAUUCAGUGCUUUCCUGGUUUUCCAAUCCAGGCCCUUUUAUUAUUUUUUUAAGGGGUUUGUUGGACUUUUGGCUUUUGUCAUAAGAUUUUUCAUUUAAAAAAAUGUAGAUGAGGACUAAAAGAUCAAUAAAAUGGAAGGCGAUGUGAAAGCACCACUUGACUCGCAGGCUGAAAUCAAAGGACAGAGUCAAUUUCUUUAACUGUCACCCAUCCAAGUUCAGACCCCUGCCUGCCUACAUUUUACCUUUUACCUGAGGCAGCUGCCUUCCUGCCGUCCACGUGCAAGGUGUGUGUUCCCUUAUCUAUGACUUCCUUGGGCCUGACCCAUCAAAAGAAGCCAGAUGGUCGUCACGUUGGCUUCUGAAGUUGUUAUUUUUAGGCUCAGAGAGCCUCUGUUGGAGAAGUGCUGUGUAAGUACGUCUGCUCCUCACACACUGUCAAAAGAAAAGUUCCUUGAGCCUGAGUGGGCAGGGUCACCCACUACUGCUGCUGGAGAGCUGAGGCCCCAGGACCUUCCAGACGGUAGCAGGGAGGAGAAGGAGAGCGUCCAAGGAGCUGGCCCUGGAGGUCGACCCUGGACUGGGCUGUGCUGCUCUGAGACGCCCUCUUCCAUUGGCAACAGUUUAUGCUGACAGAGCGACUCUGGAGUGUUGGUGGGGUCCUGGGUAGCUUCAGGCUGGAGCCAAUGACCUGAAGACUGAACAGAUUGCCAACCUGGAUGAAUGUAAACACAGACUUUCCCAUGGCCAUCUCACCUCCAUGAGGGUGGAGUUGCCUGAGAAUGGAGCCCAGACAAGAGGCAACUGAAGGCUGUGUUGCAGCGGGGAGGGAGAAUCUUUCUAUUAUAAGAGCCAAUAAAUUCUUAUUUAGUGAGUUCAGGUUGGGUUUCUGUAACUUGGAACCAAAUAUAUCCUUCUUAGCAUUUUCAAAUGCACCUUCCUCUUUAGUCUGAGAUGGCUUGGGAGGAACAUGGACAAAGCUCCUAAAUCUAUUGUCUGAAAUUAUUUAGGGUCAGGAGACUCAGUUUUAGUCCUGGCGCCACCCUUAUUUACUAAUAAUGAUCAUGACAAGACAUAUAAUCUCCCGAAAACUGUGGAUGAAAAUGCCUCCCCUGCCUGCCUCAUGGGUUAUGACUAUACUAGAAUGAGAUGAAGGGCGUGCAUACGCUAUCUUAGCCAUGUGAACAUACUAAAAACAUUAGUGUGGAAAAGAGGAGAAAAGCACUAAUGAUAUUUGGUCUCUGCUUGUGCCAGACACAAGGCCAGGCAUUUCACAUAUGUAAUCAUAUUUCAUCUUUCCAGCAACCCCACACCUAGUAUAUUUCCUGGUUUGGAGAGGUUGUUAAGUAUUUAUUUCCUGUCGUAAGUGUGCUGCCAGCUUAGGAAUCUGAGAUAAAUAACAUCUCCAUUUCUCAGAUUUCUUCAACUGAGGAGGAAGAAUGGUGGCUUGAAUGGUAUUUAAUUCAUCUAAGCUGAAUUGUUUAAGACAGAUUUUGGAACUUGGCUUGAAAAAGAGUUCUAUGAUCACAAAAGUUUGGAACAUGUGAAAUCAGAGGUAAACAGGCUCUUGUCCAAGGUCAUGUAACAAAUCUGUAGGUGAUGGGAUGUUCUACAUCUGAUAGGGGUCUGGGUCAGCCAGGUGCAUGCAUUUGUCAAAACACAGCACCUGUUACCUUAGUAUGUGUGCAUUUUGUAGUAUGUAAU
ensembl:lncRNA